UACGAGUGGUGCAAGCGUUAUUCGGAUUUAUUGGGCGUAAAGGGCGCGUAGGCGGGAAUGUAAGUCAGAAGUGAAAUCCCGGGGCUCAACCCCGGAACAGCAUUUGAAACUGCAUACCUAGAGGGUAGUCGGAGAAAACAGAAUUCCACAAGUAGCGGUGAAAUGCGUAGAUAUGUGGAAGAAUACCGGUGGCGAAGGCGGUUUUCUAGAUUAUACCUGACGCUGAGGCGCGAAAGCAAGGGGAUCAAACAGG
rnacentral:rRNA from 1 species